rnacentral:rRNA from 1 species
GUACAAAUCCAUACAACCCUGUAUCUACAUAAUUCCAUUUGUUCUUGGAAGCUAAGCAGGGUCAGGCAUGGUUAGUAUAUGGAUGGGAAACCACUAGAAAACACAAGGGGCCUCGAUCU